CUCGGAGACAAAAUGCAGGUGCUAUGAACCGGAGCAAGGAAUAAGCACGCCUCAUAAUGAAGCGGUGACCUCCUAUUUGCUCGGAGCAAUAUCUGCAAGUCCAGAUUUACACGAUGUUGAUAAAGACGACAUUGUGUCCGUCUGUAAGACAUAUUAUGAGACUGUACGCCGGAGCUUCAGAUAUACGCAGCCAGAGAACUCAACAAUUCAGCUCGGAGUCGAGCUAGAAGAAAGAGGCUGCUGGAAUCGAGGCAGAGUGUGCUAGCGGAUGAGGAAGUGGAACUCUGGAAGUCCGCCACCGUCGACCUCAUGUCUGGCGAAGAAGAUGGCGUCGUUGGCGUGGUCUCUGGAUGG